GAUGAACGCUGGCGGCGUGCCUAAUACAUGCAAGUCGAGCGAACAGAUGAGGAGCUUGCUCCUCUGACGUUAGCGGCGGACGGGUGAGUAACACGUGGAUAACCUACCUAUAAGACUGGGAUAACUUCGGGAAACCGGAGCUAAUACCGGAUAAUAUAUUGAACCGCACGGUUCAAUAGUGAAAGACGGUUUUGCUGUCACUUAUAGAUGGAUCCGCGCCGCAUUAGCUAGUUGGUAAGGUAACGGCUUACCAAGGCAACGAUGCGUAGCCGACCUGAGAGGGUGAUCGGCCACACUGGAACUGAGACACGGUCCAGACUCCUACGGGAGGCAGCAGUAGGGAAUCCUCCGCAAUGGGCGAAAGCCUGACGGAGCAACGCCGCGUGAGUGAUGAAGGUCUUCGGAUCGUAAAACUCUGUUAUUAGGGAAGAACAAAUGUGUAAGUAACUAUGCACGUCUUGACGGUACCUAAUCAGAAAGCCACGGCUAACUACGUG
rnacentral:rRNA from 1 species